rnacentral:rRNA from 1 species
CCCCCUAAGGGUGGGCUAUUGUGCCAAGCGGCACUUGAUUCAGCCUUGCAAUGUCUGCAUGGACAGCAGCGCAUGACAUCUAUUGCUGGACGUUGGGGCCGGUGCUGGGCGUACAUCGAUGGAGCAUUUGGAUGCAUGGCGCGUGAGUUGUGUUCGGUAUGUACGGUUAGGUUGGAUCCCUGCUCGAGCAGCAAUGUCCUGACCCGUCUGCCAUCUCAGUCGUUGGGUAAGCACAAUUUAGGUUUGCUCGAAGUCGGUUUCCUGUGCUGCAUACCUAAUGCCUAGGCAUUAUCAAGUCAUAUCGAUCGCAUUUUGCCCCUCGCAUUUCGUGCGUAGGGUGAAUCGAAAGGUCGUCAUCGUGUCCCACGUCUUUCUCGCUUCGUUGUGCGGUCAUGGUCCAUGAGCGGUGGUCAGGAUUCUCGGAUGCGGUAGACGUAGUGUGGAUGAGGUCUUAAUUGACUCCUAUCUGCCCUAUACGAUGCUCCUUGCAAACGAAGGUCGCGCUUUCCUUGAAUCUGUAUUCGCCCUCAAGGGAAGGCCGGGCUCAUGUGACACCGGCGUCGUUGCGGAAUGCUACCUGGUGGAUCCUUCCAGUAGUCAUAUGCUUGUCUCAAAGAUUAAGCCAUGCAUGUGUAAGUGUGAACAAAUUCAGACUGUUAAAUUAUGAAUGGCUCAUUAAAUCAGUUAUAGUUUGUUUGAUGGUAUUUACUACUCGGAUAACCGCGUGCCGGUCGAGGAACGGACUGCGAAUAGAUCCUUUGGGGACCUUCCCCACUCGUCGAACAACCAACUUAGACCUUGUACGGACAAGGGGAAUCCGACUGUUUAAUUAAAACAAAAUAUUGCGAUGGUCCCAAUGGAUGUUCACACAUUGUGAUUUCUGCCCAGUGCUCUGGAUGUCAAAGCGAUGAAAUUCAACCAAGCAUGGGUAAAUGGCGGGAGUAACUAUGACUCUCUUAAGGUAGCCAAAUGCCUCGUCAUCUACAUAGUGAUGUGCAUGAAUGGAUUAACGUGAUUCCCACUAUCCCUGUCUACUAUCCAGCGAAACCACAGCCCAGGGAACGGGCUUGGAAGAAUUAAUGGGGAAAGAAGACCCUCUUGAGCUUGACUCUACUUCGACUUUGUGAAAUGACUUUAGGGGUGUAGUAUAAGUGGGAGACAAAAGCCGAAAGUGAAAUACCACUGCUUUUCACAUUAUUUUACUUAUUCCGUGAAUCGGAAGCGGGGUGAUGCCCCUUUUUUGAGACCCAAGGCUCGCUCUUUGGGCCGAUCCAGGUGGAAGACAUUGUCAGGUGGGGAGUUUGGCUGGGGCGGCACAUCUUUUAAAAGAUAACGAAGCUGUGAUAAGAUGAGAUCAAAGAGAACAGAAAUAUUGUAUGGAACAGAAGGGUAAAAGCUCGUUUGAUUCUGAUUUCUAGUACGAAUACGAACCAUGAAAGCGUCGCCUAAUGAUCCUUUAGACCUUCGAAAUUUGAAGCUAGAGGUGUCAAAAAAGUGUUACCACAGGGAUAACUGGUCUGUUUCAGCCAAGCGUUCAUAGCGACGUUGCUUGUUCAUCCUUUGAUGUCGGCUCGUCCUAUCAUUGUGAAGCAAAAUUCACCAAGUGUUGGAAUGUUCACCAACCAAUAGAGAACAUGAGCUGGGUUUAGACCGUCGUGAGACAGGUUAGUUUUACCCUACUUGUGACAGUGUCGCAGUAGUAAUUCAACCUAGUGCGAGAGAAAAUAUUGAUUCACCUAAUUUGUAAUCGCGCUUGGUUGAAAAGCCAGUGGUGCAAAGCUACCAUGUGCGAGAUUAUGACUGAACGCCUCUAAGUCAGAAUCCGAGCUAGAAGCGACGCAUGCGUCCGCUGUUCGCUUGCCGACCUGCAGUAGGGGCCUUGGCCCCCAAGGGCACAAGUCAUUUGCUAAGCCACCACGGCGGAAGAAUCACGGUGGCCGCCUUGAUGUUUAAUUUCCAUCGAGCGGCGGGUAGAAUCCUUUGCAGAAGACUUAAAUAUGCGAC